UACGUAGGGUGCGAGCGUUGUCCGGAAUUACUGGGCGUAAAGGGCGCGUAGGCGGCACGGCAAGUCAGGAGUGAAAGCCCUGGGCUCAACCCGGGAACUGCUUUUGAAACUGCCGAGCUAGAGUGCGGAAGGGGCAACUGGAAUUCCCAGUGUAGCGGUGAAAUGCGUAGAUAUCGGGAAGAACACCUGAGGCGAAGGCGGGUUGCUGGGCCGACACUGACGCUGAGGCGCGAAAGCCAGGGGAGCGAACGGG
rnacentral:rRNA from 1 species